AAUCUUGGUUCUAGCAUUGCACAGUUCAUCAUUGUCCUCUCCUAAAAGUUUUUGCUCAAGACAGUCUUCACGAAAAUAUAAAGAUCCUUUGCUUCCUUCUGGAGCUGAUUUUCCCUGGCAUUCAUACAACAAAGAAAAGCUGCUUUGGCUCUCUACUCGAUCAACUUGAUUGUGCAUUUUACUCUCCAGAAACACUCUCCUCUGCUGAGUAUUUAGACAAGUUUUUCAGAUGCAACAGAAAUAGGCAUGGAAUUUUCUCCUCGAAGCUGUCAAUGGAAUUUGCACUAUCCACAUAAUUCGGACAUGGACAGCGUAAACCCAUAUGCAAAUAAUCAGAGCCAGCAGCAAAAGGAAUUAUGCCAAAGAAUGAAAAGGAAACAUAUGAUAGGAACUAGAAAAGAUGUCCAUGAAGAUGUAUA
rnacentral:lncRNA from 1 species